UGGUGGUAAUAGCGGAGGGGAAACACCCGUUCCCAUCCCGAACACGGAAGUUAAGCCCUCCAGCGCCGAUGGUACUGGGUCUAUACCCGGGAGAGUAGGUCACCGCC
rnacentral:rRNA from 1 species